rnacentral:lncRNA from 1 species
GCUGACAUGACUCUGGCUCCUCUUUUCUCAGAGGUCCUUAUCAUUGCCUCCACCGCCUCGCUUUCAUAAUCAUAAACUGUCAGAAGAUUUUUAACGGACAUGAAGGGGUAAGAUUCUGCUAGAAGUUUGAAAGCAGAUGUUCUGUUUGCUGUGAACACCAUACCGUAAUCAUUUUCUGAAAUAUUCAAAAAGUCCAUGAUCCUUUUCUUCAUUGCGGAUUCCAAUCCUGAUUCUUGCCCUCCAUGAAGCAGCUGUGUCUUCAGAUUCCCUGUCUUGUAUGACACACUAAAGAAAGGAAUAUCCAAAUUUUGAGAAGGCAAUGAAGGCCGUAAAUGAGAAGGAGAAGAUUCCUGUUUAUGCAACUGGUUAUAGGAAAACAAACCAAUACCGAAAUAAUCAAGGCAGGUAUGAUUGGAGAGCGAGAGCUGAUAGUACUCUUUUGCUCGUAUUUGGUCAAUUUGAUAUGUAUCAAAGUACUGAGGGUAGGCUUUUGUGAAUUCAGUUAAAGAUUGUUGCAAAGAUGGGAGAGACUCAUGGUUGGUGAAUUGAGUGUCUGGGAAGAUGGAGGAAGCAGUUACUGCUGCAAAGUCGCGGCGACAAUCCGCAGAAGUGUUUCUGGACUUGGAGACUUUGUGGAGGGGAUCAGGUGAUAAGCUGAAGAAAGGAGACGGACAGCAGCCACCGUGGGUGCAUAGACAUGCUUGUGAGACCUCUCUCAAGCAAGGUGACUGCAUUUUCUCUCUUUCUUUCUUCUUGUUUCUUUCAAUCAAAUUUCAUCGCUUAUAUGGAGCAUUAUUAUUAUUAUUAUUUUGUCUUUAUUGGCUUAGACAACAGCAUCUGUUUUACUUUGCCUUGAUUGCUUUCAUACUUGCUGGUUGAUGUGGGCAUGGUGUAAACCCAUUGAAUAAGUCUGGUCAAAUUUUGCUCCUCAUGACUCAUGAGCACUUCACAGUCACCAUAGUGCACCAUAGUGCCAUACACUCAAGAAAGUCUUGCUCAAGAGAAUUCAAAUUGAUCAUAAAGUUUGUCUAAUCACAAACAAUUCCCGUGUUUACUAACAUGUUUGUGAAACAUGAACAAUGGCGAUGAUGCAUGUGUUUAGAAAAUCUUAAUGAUAAAUUGUAAACUAUACGCCAUUUGGUAUCGUGUUGCUCUGAAGUUUUAAGAAUCAAGAAAAAGUUAAUAGAGGUUUGGUAAACACUACCAAUUGUCCAGUAAAAAUUAUUCGUUAUUAUUCUUAUUUAUUAUAUUUUCAAUAAUAGGAAAUGAUUAGUGAUAUUGCUAAAGUCAAGUAACAAAUAUCUUACUAAAUACUUGGACAACAAACCUUCUAAAACAAUAAAAUAGAAUAGAAUAAAACAAAUGGAGCCUAAAAGGAGUAGCUGGCAAGGCAGUUGUAAUGGCUAUUCUUUGAAGGUAAUAUCUGAGUUGUGUUGUUUGAUGGGAAGGAGGCGAAAAUUGAAAGCAACAAGCAGAAGUGGACGACAAAAGCCGCUUUUAUGUUGGCCGGGCAAUAGUAUCAUUGCUGUACAAAAAGAGCUUCUUUAUCAAUUAUAAUGCUUCUCAAUUGCUUCCUGUUGAAGGUUUCUGAAAUUGCUUGUAUAAAAAUAAUGGCCAUGAGUGCUGUCCUAUAAACUAUCAAAUGAUUCCCUGCCAAAUGUCAUAUCUUUUCCUAUAAUCACUCCGAAAACUUUAAUUAAAU